AUGAUCCCUAUAGGGCGCGGUCAGCGAGAGUUCAUUAUUGGGGACAGACAGACUGGCAAAACAGCAGUAACCACAGAUACAAUUCUCAAUCAAAAAGGGCAAGGUGUAAUAUGUGUUUAUGUAGCUAUCGGUCAAAGAGCAUCCUCCGUAGCUCAAGUAGUAACUACUUUCCAUGAGGAGGGGGCCAUGGAAUACACUAUUGUAGUAGCUGAAAUGGCGGAUUCACCUGCUACAUUACAAUACCUUGCUCCUUAUACGGGAGCAGCCAUAGCUGAGUAUUUUAUGUACUGCGAACGGCAUUCUUUAAUAAUUUAUGAUGAUCUCUCCAAACAGGUAAGCUUAUCGCCAAAUGUCCCUUCUAUUAAGUCCCGGCUGUGA
rnacentral:rRNA from 1 species